CACAGAGUUGAGCAAUUUGCUGAAGGCCACACAGCUCCUGGAUAAAAUACACACAUUCUGAAGCUGUUGUCUCCUCUGGCUCCUCUGAUGGAUGGGUGUUGCAUCCCAAGAGGGCAGCUAGCUAGCCCUGAACUCUGGAAAACUGACACCAAAUUAGCUGCAAGGAUUUGAAGCUUUCAAGACAUCUUAUCACCUCAGGAGGAAGUCAACGUAGAUGCCUGAAACUUCUUGUGCCUCAGGCAGUGAGAAGCUAUCAGCAUAAAAACUGGCUUCUUCAUCAGUGUUGAAACAGACUUUGUGGAUGUCCAAAUUGCUACACCCUUCCCAGAGAGUAAUUUGCCAAUAUACAUCUGAGGCCUUUCCCGGGAGUCUGCCUUUUGAUCUAACCAUUCAAAGUGGACUUUAUCCCAAUGAAAUCCUAAAGGGCAAGUGCCCUAAAGAUAUUAAGGAAAAGAAUGUGUGUAACAGAAUAUUUAUCACAGCUAGAAACUGAAAACAAAUUGCACAUCAAGAGGGAAUGGAUUAUUUUAAACAUAUGAAAACAUGCUUAACCUCAUUCACAAAAAUUCCACCUGUUAAGUUGGCAAAGAUCCAAAAGUUUGAUAACAGCUCUUAGUGAAUGUGUGGGCACCCUCAAAUGUCAGUUAUUGAAAUGUAAAUUGAUA
rnacentral:lncRNA from 1 species